rnacentral:rRNA from 1 species
UACAGAGGGUGCAAGCGUUAAUCGGAAUUACUGGGCGUAAAGCGCGCGUAGUCGGUUGGGUAAGUCGGAUGUGAAAUCCCCGGGCUUAACCUGGGAAUUGCAUUCGAUACUGCCUGGCUAGAGUGUGGAAGAGGGAAGCGGAAUUUCCGGUGUAGCGGUGAAAUGCGUAGAUAUCGGAAGGAACACCAGUGGCGAAGGCGGCUUCCUGGUCCAACACUGACGCUGAGGCGCGAAAGCGUGGGGAGCAAACAGGAUUAGAUACCCCCGUAGUCCCUGA